AGAUUGAACGCUGGCGGCAGGCCUAACACAUGCAAGUCGAGCGGUAGAGAGGUGCUUGCAUCUCUUGAGAGCGGCGGACGGGUGAGUAAUGCCUAGGAAUCUGCCUAGUGGUGGGGGAUAACGUUCGGAAACGGACGCUAAUACCGCAUACGUCCUACGGGAGAAAGCGGGGGACCUUCGGGCCUCGCGCCAUUAGAUGAGCCUAGGUCGGAUUAGCUAGUUGGUGAGGUAAUGGCUCACCAAGGCGACGAUCCGUAACUGGUCUGAGAGGAUGAUCAGUCACACUGGAACUGAGACACGGUCCAGACUCCUACGGGAGGCAGCAGUGGGGAAUAUUGGACAAUGGGCGAAAAGCCUGAUCCAGCCAUGCCGCGUGUGUGGAGAAGGUCUUCGGAUUAGUAAAAGCAACUUUAAGUUUGGAAGGAAGGGUUGAAACCCUUAAUACGUUUGCUAAACGUUUGAACGUUACCGAACUAGAAAUAAAGCGAACCGGCCUAAACUUCCGUGACCAGACGAGCCGUAA
rnacentral:rRNA from 1 species